rnacentral:rRNA from 1 species
AAGUCGAGCGGAUGAGAAGAGCUUGCUCUUCGAUUCAGCGGCGGACGGGUGAGUAAUGCCUAGGAAUCUGCCUGGUAGUGGGGGACAACGUUUCGAAAGGAACGCUUAUACCGCAUACGUCCUACGGGAGAAAGCAGGGGACCUUCGGGCCUUGCGCUAUCAGAUGAGCCUAGGUCGGAUUAGCUAGUUGGUGAGGUAAUGGCUCACCAAGGCGACGAUCCGUAACUGGUCUGAGAGGAUGAUCAGUCACACUGGAACUGAGACACGGUCCAGACUCCUACGGGAGGCAGCAGUGGGGAAUAUUGGACAAUGGGCGAAAGCCUGAUCCAGCCAUGCCGCGUGUGUGAAGAAGGUCUUCGGAUUGUAAAGCACUUUAAGUUGGGAGGAAGGGCAUUAACCUAAUACGUUAGUGUUUUGACGUUACCGACAGAAUAAGCACCGGCUAACUCUGUGCCAGCAGCCGCGGUAAUACAGAGGGUGCAAGCGUUAAUCGGAAUUACUGGGCGUAAGCGCGCGUAGGUGGUUUGUUAAGUUGGAUGUGAAGCCCCGGGCUCAACCUGGGAACUGCAUCCAAAACUGGCAAGCUAGAGUACGGUAGAGGGUGGUGGAAUUUCCUGUGUAGCGGUGAAAUGCGUAGAUAUAGGAAGGAACACCAGUGGCGAAGGCGACCACCUGAACUGAUACUGACACUGAGGUGCGAAAGCGUGGGGAGCAAACAGGAUUAG